rnacentral:rRNA from 1 species
GGGUUGUGAGGUUAAGCGACUAAGCGUACACGGUGGAUGCCCUGGCAGUCAGAGGCGAUGAAGGACGUGCUAAUCUGCGAUAAGCGUCGGUAAGGUGAUAUGAACCGUUAUAACCGGCGAUUUCCGAAUGGGGAAACCCAGUGUGAUUCGUCACACUAUCAUUAACUGAAUCCAUAGGUUAAUGAGGCGAACCGGGGGAACUGAAACAUCUAAGUACCCCGAGGAAAAGAAAUCAACCGAGAUUCCCCCAGUAGCGGCGAGCGAACGGGGAGCAGCCCAGAGCCUGAAUCAGUGUGUGUGUUAGUGGAAGCGUCUGGAAAGGCGUGCGAUACAGGGUGACAGCCCCGUACACAAAAAUGCACAUACUGUGAGCUCGAUGAGUAGGGCGGGACACGUGGUAUCCUGUCUGAAUAUGGGGGGACCAUCCUCCAAGGCUAAAUACUCCUGACUGACCGAUAGUGAACCAGUACCGUGAGGGAAAGGCGAAAAGAACCCCGGCGAGGGGAGUGAAAAAGAACCUGAAACCGUGUACGUACAAGCAGUGGGAGCACGCUUAGGCGUGUGACUGCGUACCUUUUGUAUAAUGGGUCAGCGACUUAUAUUCUGUAGCAAGGUUAACCGAAUAGGGGAGCCGAAGGGAAACCGAGUCUUAACUGGGCGUUAAGUUGCAGGGUAUAGACCCGAAACCCGGUGAUCUAGCCAUGGGCAGGUUGAAGGUUGGGUAACACUAACUGGAGGACCGAACCGACUAAUGUUGAAAAAUUAGCGGAUGACUUGUGGCUGGGGGUGAAAGGCCAAUCAAACCGGGAGAUAGCUGGUUCUCCCCGAAAGCUAUUUAGGUAGCGCCUCGUGAAUUCAUCUCCGGGGGUAGAGCACUGUUUCGGCAAGGGGGUCAUCCCGACUUACCAACCCGAUGCAAACUGCGAAUACCGGAGAAUGUUAUUACGGGAGACACACGGCGGGUGCUAACGUCCGUCGUGAAGAGGGAAACAACCCAGACCGCCAGCUAAGGUCCCAAAGUCAUGGUUAAGUGGGAAACGAUGUGGGAAGGCCCAGACAGCCAGGAUGUUGGCUUAGAAGCAGCCAUCAUUUAAAGAAAGCGUAAUAGCUCACUGGUCGAGUCGGCCUGCGCGGAAGAUGUAACGGGGCUAAACCAUGCACCGAAGCUGCGGCAGCGACGCUUAUGCGUUGUUGGGUAGGGGAGCGUUCUGUAAGCCUGUGAAGGUGUGCUGUGAGGUAUGCUGGAGGUAUCAGAAGUGCGAAUGCUGACAUAAGUAACGAUAAAGCGGGUGAAAAGCCCGCUCGCCGGAAGACCAAGGGUUCCUGUCCAACGUUAAUCGGGGCAGGGUGAGUCGACCCCUAAGGCGAGGCCGAAAGGCGUAGUCGAUGGGAAACAGGUUAAUAUUCCUGUACUUGGUGUUACUGCGAAGGGGGGACGGAGAAGGCUAUGUUGGCCGGGCGACGGUUGUCCCGGUUUAAGCGUGUAGGCUGGUUUUCCAGGCAAAUCCGGAAAAUCAAGGCCGAGGCGUGAUGACGAGGCACUACGGUGCUGAAGCAACAAAUGCCCUGCUUCCAGGAAAAGCCUCUAAGCAUCAGGUAACAUCAAAUCGUACCCCAAACCGACACAGGUGGUCAGGUAGAGAAUACCAAGGCGCUUGAGAGAACUCGGGUGAAGGAACUAGGCAAAAUGGUGCCGUAACUUCGGGAGAAGGCACGCUGAUACGUAGGUGAAGCGACUUGCUCGUGGAGCUGAAAUCAGUCGAAGAUACCAGCUGGCUGCAACUGUUUAUUAAAAACACAGCACUGUGCAAACACGAAAGUGGACGUAUACGGUGUGACGCCUGCCCGGUGCCGGAAGGUUAAUUGAUGGGGUUAGCGCAAGCGAAGCUCUUGAUCGAAGCCCCGGUAAACGGCGGCCGUAACUAUAACGGUCCUAAGGUAGCGAAAUUCCUUGUCGGGUAAGUUCCGACCUGCACGAAUGGCGUAAUGAUGGCCAGGCUGUCUCCACCCGAGACUCAGUGAAAUUGAACUCGCUGUGAAGAUGCAGUGUACCCGCGGCAAGACGGAAAGACCCCGUGAACCUUUACUAUAGCUUGACACUGAACAUUGAGCCUUGAUGUGUAGGAUAGGUGGGAGGCUUUGAAGUGUGGACGCCAGUCUGCAUGGAGCCGACCUUGAAAUACCACCCUUUAAUGUUUGAUGUUCUAACGUGGACCCGUGAUCCGGGUUGCGGACAGUGUCUGGUGGGUAGUUUGACUGGGGCGGUCUCCUCCUAAAGAGUAACGGAGGAGCACGAAGGUUGGCUAAUCCUGGUCGGACAUCAGGAGGUUAGUGCAAUGGCAUAAGCCAGCUUGACUGCGAGCGUGACGGCGCGAGCAGGUGCGAAAGCAGGUCAUAGUGAUCCGGU